rfam:Trichobilharzia regenti genome assembly, scaffold: TRE_scaffold0012327
GUACUGCUGAAGAGUCCCCGACUAGGACGAAACAGCUGUCCAGCAC